UACGGGGGGAGCUAGCGUUGUUCGGAAUUACUGGGCGUAAAGCGCACGUAGGCGGCCAUUCAAGUCAGAGGUGAAAGCCCGGGGCUCAACCCCGGAACUGCCUUUGAAACUAGAUGGCUUGAAUCUUGGAGAGGCGAGUGGAAUUCCGAGUGUAGAGGUGAAAUUCGUAGAUAUUCGGAAGAACACCAGUGGCGAAGGCGACUCGCUGGACAAGUAUUGACGCUGAGGUGCGAAAGCGUGGGGAGCAAACAGG
rnacentral:rRNA from 1 species